GGUAGAGAGGGAGAUGAGGAAGAGAGGGAGAGGAGGAAAGGAGGGAGAGGAGGAAGAGAGGGAGAGGAGGAAAGGAGGGAGAGGAGGAAAGGAGGGAGAGGAGGCAGAGAGGGAGAGGAGGAAAGGAAGGAGAGGAGGAAGAGAGGGAGAGGAGGAAGGGAGGGAGAGGAGGAAAGGAGGGAGAGGAGGAAGAGCGGGAGAGGAGGUAAGGAGGGAGAGGAGGAAGAGAGGGAUAGGAGGAAAGGAGGGAGAGGAUGGAGAGAGGGAGAGGAGGAAAGGAGGUAGAGGACGAAAGGAGAUAGAGGAGGCAGAGAGAGAGAGGAGGAAAGGAGGGAGAGGAGGUAGAGAGGGAGAGCAAAGCAGGGAGAGGAGGAAGAGAGGGAGAGGAGGAAGAGAGGGAGAGGAGAAAAGGAGGGAGAGGAGGAAGAGAG
ensembl:lncRNA